UAUAUAUGUAGGCACACACACAUACACACAUAUAAAAGCUCAUAAAGAACCAAGAACACAAAGAGGAUACUCCAUUUCUUCAUAAGAGAUGGCAAACCACAAAACACAUAUGUGCUCACUUCUCAUUGCACUACUAGUCUUUGCAUCGAGUAUACUCUCUCUCUCUCUCUCUCUCUCUCUCUCUCUCUCUCCUCAGACUAUUUAUCUUUGUUUCUUUGGAUCUAUGAUUAUGUCCAUCCAAAUGAUUGUUCUUACAUAACUUUUCUUUACAUCAUUUGCAUAUAUAUGUAGCUUGGAAGCCCACCAUGCAGCUUCCACCUUGUUGGCACCACCCAGAGAAGUUCAGCAUAUGCUUUGCCACUUGGAGGGAAGAAAUAUGCAACAAGCUAUGCAUUGCCGAGAACUACGAGUAUGGGGCUUGUGCCAUGAUUUACCCAGUGCCGCGUUGCGUCUGCCACAAGCGUCAUUGUCAUGACACUUAACCAUGAUGAGUGAUGUAUUUAGGAUGUUUAUGUGAUAAUAAAGGGAUGGUGGUGUUUUUCAUCAUUUUGAAACAUAAGUAUUUAACAAAGUGAGCCUGAGUUCUUUCCAGUAUUGACCAAAAGACUUCUAAUGAACAUGGUUGAAUGUAUGUGUAUUGCUUGAUGAAUUUCACGAUUGCAAAGAGAGAUAAUAUUAUAUACAUGUAAUAUAUAAACAUGUAGUUAAAAAUGUCACAAAACUCUAGUCAUCUAAUUAUAUUAAUAAUGUUAUUUUAGAUCAUGCCAGACAUGAGCUGGUUCUCAGCAAAUCAAACCUUGAUUAAUUUCCCAUCCAAUUCUAUUAAAAAUGUUAUUUCGGUUGCAAAUAAUCACUAAGUAAUUGUCAUGAAGAAACCAAACUAAAUGGAAUUAUUAAAAUGCCCCAAACCUAUUUAAUACUGAACCGACAACAUUUAAUAAGUCCAUUUCAAUAUAAUAAAUAAUCAAACAUUUCAAAAUAAAUUGUAAAUUGAUGUGCUAGCUCCACACUUUCCAUAGUAUUUUGUGACAAGUUCAUCAUUUACAACAAAAGUCAAUUGAUCUGUAAAUAAAAUAAAAGCAAAGAAAACUCAACGAUAGAUUGAUAGAUGCAAAUAAAACUCAACGAGAUAUUUUUGGGUUUUUGAUAAAAUAGAUCUGGAAAAAGAGGUAAAUAAAUUGGAAACACAAAUAGCAUUGUAGAUCUGAAAAUAUAUAAUAGGAAAUAGACUCGGGGGCCGUAGAUUUCACUAGCGGCUUCUCUCAGAAAAAUAGUAUACGGUGGGUAAACAAAUUACUGUUGGGCAAUUGAUAGAGAAGAAAAUAAUUAUGACGAUAUCCAGGACUAUGAUCAUGCAUAUAGGCAUCAUGUCCAAGAUUAGUAGACCGACUCUUGCCUGCAUCUACUACUAUUACUCCACACAUCGACCGCUAUCCAGCAUGCAUCUAGUGUAUUAAUUUCAAGGAAACACGGAGUAAUGCAAUAAGAAUGAUGACAUGAUGUAGAUAAGAUCUAUUCAUGUAGGAAUAGACCCCAUCUUUUUAUCCUUAAUAGCAAUGAUACAUGUUUGUCAUCUCUCUUUCUGUCAUUCAGAAUAAGCACCGCAAGAUCCAACCCAUUACAAGGCACCUCUUCCCAUUGCAAAAUAAAUCAAUCAAGUUGGCAAAACAAAACCAAAAUAUUGGGGAAGAAAUAUGAGGCUAUAAUAAUCAUGCAUGGGUAGAUCUGAUUGUAAACUCAUAAUUCAUCGGAUCCCAACAAACACACUUCAAAAAGUCAUUACAUCAAAUAUAUCUCCAAGAACAUCGAGGAGAACAUUGUAUUCAGAAUCACAAAGAGAGAAAAAAGGCAUCUAGCUACUGCCUACGGACUUGUAGGUCUCUUGUAAACUACUCACGGAGCGCCAAUGAGGAUGGUGAACCCCUCCGUGAUCGUUUCCCCCUCUGGCAAGGUUCCAGAAUAGGGCUCUACAUUUGAUCUCAUGGUUCUGGGACUUGCGGCGGCUGGAAUUGUGUUUCGUCGACUCCCCUAGGGUUUUUGGAAUAUUCGGGUAUUUAUAGACCUGAGAGGCGACGGAGAAGCUUCCCAUGGGCCCCACAAGGCAUCAGGACACGUGCUACUUCUUGAGCUUGUGUCGGUUUUCCCUUGAAGAGGAAUGGGUGAUGCAACAAAGUAGAGAUAAAUAUUCCCUCACUUAAGAACCAAGGUAUCAAUCCAGUAGGAGGAACACACAAAUCUCCAAUGAUGGCACCUGCACAAACAAAAAAUACUUGCACCCAACACGAUAAAGCAGUUGUCAGUCCCAUCACUGUUACUUGCAAGGAUGAGAUCUGAUAGAGAUAGAUGUAAAACAAGAUAAAAUUAAAUAAAAGUUAGCGACGUAUUUUUAGAUUUUUGGGUUUUAUAGAUCUGAAAAUAAUAUGGUAAAGAUAGACCCCGGGGGCCAUAGGUUUCACUAGAGGCUUCUCUCUUGAAUGAAAACAUAUGGUGGGUAAAGAAAUUAUUGUUGAGCAAUUGGUAGAAAAGCGCAUAAUUAUGAUGAUAUCUAAGGCAAUGAUCAUGAAUAUAGACAUCACGUCUGUGACAAGUAGACCUACUCAUGGCUGCAUCUAUUACUAUAACUCCACACAUCGACCGCUAUCCAGCAUGCGUCUAGUGUAUUAAGUUAACAAGAAUGGAGUAACGCUUUAAGCAAUAUGACAUGAUGUAGAGCGAUAGAUCCAAUCAAUAUGGUAAAAACCCCAUCUUUUUAUCCUUAAUGGCAACAAUACAAUAUGUGCCUCGCUACCCCUUCUGUCACUGGGUGAGGACACUGCAAGAUUGAACCCAUCACAAAGCAUCCCUCCCAUUGCAAGAAAAAUCAAUCUAGUUGUCCAAACCAAAUCAAUAGACCAAAGACAAAUACAAAGAUGUCUUAAUCAUGCAUAAAAGAGUUCAGAGAAGACUCAAAUAAUAUUCAUAGAUAAUCUGAUCAUAAAUCCACAAUUCAUUGAUCCCAACAAACGCACCGCAAAUGAAGAUUACAUCGAAUAGAUCGCCGAAAAAAUCGAGGAGAACAUUGUAUUGAAGAUCAAAGAGGGAGAAGAAGCCCCGUCCUGAUCUCCUUGCUGAUGGAAACCGAAUAGGUGAUAAACCUGGACUAGAGUCUUGUGUGGUUAGUCAGGUCGUGGCCGACACCCUCGCUAGGCUUCCGCUUGAAGGUUUCCGAGUACAUGUCGUGUAAACGGCGGUAAGUGGUGAGAGUGUGUGUGAAGAAGUACACCCUUGCAGGGUUAUAUAUGAUCUACUCGAAUAGCCGCGUCUGCGGAUAUGGAGUACUUGGAAUGAUUAUAUGGUUCAUAGAUAACUUGAAGAGGAUACUCUAAAAUGCACAAGAUAAGCGUUAGUGUUAUGGAUGGCCUUCUUGUAGGGAUACGGGAGCAGAUCCAUAGUGGUGUAUUGAUAUGGUGAAUAUGUGGACUCGUGUGUGCCACAUCAAAGAAGUUACUGGUAAUUGUAGUUCAGGAUAGCCACCGAGUCAAAUCUGGCUUGAUGCAGUUAAACUCCACCACCCCCUUGCUGAUACUGAUGCAUAAGUAGUUAGUUUUGAUGUAAGUCUUGCUGGGUACAUUUGUACUCAUGUUUGCCUAAUUUAUAUUUUUGCAGAGAGACUUCAAUCUCACUAGUAGUUCCAUGUGGAGCUUGGGAAUUCGAGAGAGAGGUCUGGCUCCUUUGGAGGGUCUUGUAGAUAGACAAGCUUUUUAACCUUCUUUCUUUUUAGAUGUCUGUAGUUAGACAUGUUUAUGCUUCCGCCUAUGCUUGGUGCUUGUAUGACUUAAAUGCUGGGUCAUGAGACCCAUGUUUGUAAUACCUGGCUCCUCGGAGCCUAUUGAAUAAAUAUUUUGAAUCAUAGUGUUUUGUUGUGAUGCCAUGUUGUAUUUACACAUAUCAAGCAUAUUGUGUGUAUGUUAUUGAAAUUCUUGGUAUGUGUGGGAUCCGACACCUAGUUGUUUAUUCUUGGUAGCCUUCCUUAUGGGGAAAUGUCUCAUAGUUCUUCCACUGAGCCAUGGUAGUUCGCUAAUGCUCCGGAACACUUAGGUUGGCUGGCAUGUAUCCUUCUUUAUUCCUGUGUCUGUCUCUUCGGGGAAAUGUCAUGCGUUGUUCCUUUAAGUCCUUGUAGCUUGCUACAACUUGGGUUCAUACGUUGAUGAUCGGCGCGUUCAUUGUUGGGUUACGUAUGCCUGUCCCUGUAAGUUUGUGCUACCUUUGGUUUACGACUAGUCAUGUCAGCCUGGGUUCUCUGUCAUAUGGAUGCUAGCGAUACAAUCAUAUACCUGAGCCAAAAGGUGCAAAUGGUCCCAGCUAAGGUAAGGCUGCAGCCGUGGGGAUACCGUGCGUGAGGCUGCAAAGUGAUAUGAUGUGUUACAUGCUAGAUCAGUGUGACUUAGGAUCGGGGUCCUCACACUAAACCCUUCUGUCAUCGGUGUUCAGAAUAACACUUCAUGGUCUCGCAGCCCUUAUCCUCUCUGUGGCUUUCUCACCAUGAUCAUGGGUACCUGCAGGGAUGAAGAACGCUGACGAGACAACCGACAUCUAUGAAACUAUUUUAUUUCAUGCAUACGGUACAAUAAAUCAAAGCCCUUCCAUUGAUUUAUACAAUAAAUAUAGUGGGUUGCAAGGCCCUUGCCAUAACCCAUACCUUACUAGAGUACUCAUACAUGGAGAUCAGAUCACACGAAGAGCACAUCAUCGAACACAUCAUGAAGGAAGAUUGAUUGGUAAUAUGUCUUACAAUGGAUGUCGUGUGUGAUACAUGUUUACAAGUAUGAUCCAGUGGAAGAAGAAUAUGGUGGUGAUGGUGGAUACGGAGAUGGAAAUGGUAGCAACAAGGGUUGAUGAAGAUCACUCUAUUCUGGUUCUACUCACACUCGUCCAUAUUUAGCCCAUUUUGUGUAGAAACGCAAUAAAGAGAGGAUAUGUUGAAUCCUAUGCAUUCAUUAGUCAAUAGUGGAAAUGUCAGAAUGAAUAUCUAAGUUUAAAGAAAGGGUACAUGACUGUAACAAUAUCACUCAUCACACAUUCAUCUUUCCUGUUCUCGGGGGAUUCCUACCACAAUAGGUGGCCCAUAUGCACCCGAGGAGGCAAUUGUUCGGGAGAGCAAGCCCCCGAGCACCGACUGCCCACCUAGCCAUGCCCAGUAAUUGAUGACAUUAAGUCCAUCUUGAUGGGAUGGUGCCGAGGGGGACCUUGUUUCCACUCUUGUUGGCAAUAGUGUAUGGUAUCUACCGCUACAAGAUAAAAUAUAAAAAAUUAUUAUGCAAUGGAUGUAAUCUUAUCAACAAUAAGUGGAGCUGGUUGCUAGCAUUUUCAUAGAUAAUAUUAAAUAGUGCACUAUUCUUAGAUUCCUAUUGGAAGUGAUCAGACAAGUGAAUAUUUAAAAUCCCGUAGAACUUACUCCAUGGUAGAGAAAAUAAGACAUUUUCUCUUGCUUUGAUUGUGUGUUUUUUAAUACUUCCUUUGAUUUGUAAUCUAUCACCAAAAUGUUCAAGGGAAAAGAGCGUAAACGAACCUAGAUGAUGGUAGUGAAUUCGUGCAUGCACAAUGAUAAUAAACCAUUUUUUUAGAUAAGGAAACAAAUAAUAUCGCAUUAGUAUAUGCACUUGAUGAAUUAGCAAAACUGUGCGCUAUACCGGCAUAUAGUCACUUCCUUCUAGCUAUAGAUGAAACAAUGGGGAUAUAUCUUAGGGAUUUUCUUUUCAAAUAAUAUGGUACUAUACAUAUAUAUAUUACAAAAAGCGGUGCUAUAUCUUGAAGGUUCCCAAUUGUCAAAAAAUACANNNNNNNNNNNNNNNNNNNNNNNNNNNNNNNNNNNNNNNNNNNNNNNNNNNNNNNNNNNNNNNNNNNNNNNNNNNNNNNNNNNNNNNNNNNNNNNNNNNNNNNNNNNNNNNNNNNNNNNNNNNNNNNNNNNNNNNNNNNNNNNNNNNNNNNNNNNNNNNNNNNNNNNNNNNNNNNNNNNNNNNNNNNNNNNNNNNNNNNNNNNNNNNNNNNNNNNNNNNNNNNNNNNNNNNNNNNNNNNNNNNNNNNNNNNNNNNNNNNNNNNNNNNNNNNNNNNNNNNNNNNNNNNNNNNNNNNNNNNNNNNNNNNNNNNNNNNNNNNNNNNNCACACACACACACACACACACACAUAAAAGCUCAUACAGAACCAAGAAAACAGAGAGGAUACUCCAUUUCUUCAUAAGAGAUGAGAAACCACAAAACACAUAUGUGCUCACUUCUCAUUGCACUACUAGUCUUUGCAUCGAGUAUACUCUCUCUCUCUCUCUCUCUCUCUCUCUCUCUCUCUCUCUCUCUCCUUAGACUAUUUAUCUUUGUCUCUUUGGAUCUAUGAUUAUGUUCAUCCAAAUGAUUUUUCUACAUAACUUUUCUUUACAUCAUUUGCAUAUAUAUGUAGCUUGGAAGCCCACCAUGCAGCUUCAAUUUUGUUGGCACCCUCCAAAGAAGUUCAGCAUAUGCUUAGCCUUUUGGAGGGUAGAAAUAUGCAACAAGCUAUGCAUUGCCGAGAACUACGAGUAUGGUGUUUGUGGCAUGAUGGAGUACCCACUGCCGCGAUGCAUCUGCCACAAGCGUCAUUGUCAUGACACUUAACUAUGAUGAGUGAUGUAUUUAGCGUGUUUAUGUGAGAAUAAAGGGAUGGUGGUGUUUUUCAUCAUUAUGAAAUAUAAGUAUUUAAUAAAGUGAGCCCGAGUUCUUUCCAGCAUUGACCAAAAGACUUCUAACGAACAUGUUUGAAUGUAUGUGUAUUGCUUGAUGAAUUUCCACAAUUGCAAAGACAAAUAAUAUUAUAUACAUGUAAAUGUUUAAACAUAUAGUUAAAAUAGUCACAAAACACUAGUCAUCUAUAUUAAAUCUUACAUCAUGCCAGGCAUGAGCUGGUUCUCAGCAAAUCAAACCUUGAUUAAUUGCCCAUCCAGUUCUAUUAAAAAUGUUAUUUGGGUUGCAAAUAAUCACUAAGUAAUUGUCAUUAAGAAACCAAACUAAAUGGAAUUAUUAAAAUGCCCCUAACCUAUUUAAUACUGAACCGGCAACAUUUAAUUAGUCCAUUUCAAUCUCAAUAAAUGAUCACACUUUUCAAAAUAAAUUGGAAUUUGAUGUGCUAGCUCAACACAUUCCCUAGUAUUUUGUGACAAGUUCAUCAUUUACAACAAAAGUCAUUUGAUAUGUAAAAACAGUAGAGAAAAUGAAAGAAGCAAAAAAGGAAAUAAGGAAGGAUUGAAGGACCUAAUGUGCACAUAGGCCCUAGUGGCACAGUACCCAGCCCAGUCCGCUAAUGUUGUCGUCCCUUACCUCCUCUUCAUCUUUGUCGCGCUCGCGGCAACACGCCCGCUCGCGUCGCCGAUGUACACGCGUCGGCCAUCCUGCGGUUCCCCCAAUGGAUAAGAAUGUCGCCCACAUCCACCUAGGGAAACCGUAGCCACCUUCCCUUCCCCUCUCGCUCUCCCUUGCUCGUUCGCGAGAGGAGCCACGCCAUCGUCUCCAUGGACGUUGUCAACCUCGCGGCCACCAAGUUCACCGCCCGCUGAGGCUUCUCCAGGAGCACCGCCACCCUCCCUGUUGUCGCCUUUGAGCAGCCGCUCAUGCCGGACGCCCUUAAGCCGCCACAAUCACUGGUCUCCUUCGUCGGCCACCACCUCUUCCUCCUUGUCGAGCUGCAGCACCGCGACCUCCUCGGCCUCCCGUUGUUGCUCCUCGACACGGUUGUGAGCCGCUGCGCUGGAUGCGCUCCUCCCCUCCCAUCCAAAUUGCCUCUAGCCUUGGUCCCAAAUAGUGCCAUCCACCACAGCUGUUAGCUCCCCCCUGUCGAGCUCCGUAUGCCCUCGUGCCUCGACAUGAGUUCCCCAGGGUGUGGCCUCACGCCCUCACCUCGUGCGUGUGUCGCGAGCUCGUGCACGCCCUUCUGCCCCUCCUCGCAUAAGGGCCAUGCCCUGGCCUCGCCUGUGUGCCCCCACGGCCGCGACCAUCUGCGCUCGAUCACACCUCCGCCCGCGCCCGCCAGGGCCGCGUUUGCCCGCGCCGUGCUCCACACCUACCCCCUGCCCGCAGCCGCUUGCAACCUGCUACCACUACCUACCUGCCGGCACUCUUCUAUGCGCACAAGGGUGUGCGUUCAACCCCUUACCGGCUGGGCCAGUGAUCAGUGGGGCUCGGUAAUUAGCCUAAUUAAUUAUUCGCUAAUCCAAACCCUAAACACCCAUGCCCAGUGGCCCCACUAGCUAAGUAAACCUGAUUAGUAUUUUAAUUUAAGAAUUAGUCUAUGACACGUGGGCCAGAGUUAAACAUUUAGAUAAUUAAUAUGAAAUCACCAGGUCAUUGACGGAUCGGUCCUGGUAGGGACUUUGACCAGUCAACUCCUGACUUGGCAAACUGUGGACUGGGCCCCCUGUUAGUCUCACAGUACCACUGGAUGGGUACACUUUUUGGUACCCUUAGCCAUUUGAAUUUAAUAAUUUUGGAAUAAAUUCAGGAAAUCAAGUAAAUUUUGAAAAAUCAUAUAAAAUAAUAUGUAAGUCAUAUGAAAAUAAUUUAUAUAUGAAAUUUAAUCAGAACAAUAUAACAAAUCUGAAUAUAACAUGCACAUACUUGCAACACCCCUCUAACAUAAUGAACCUGGACAUUUUGUAUUAGGUUCAUCUGACCACAAAAUACAUGGAUUAUUACAACAUAUCAGCAGAUAAUUUCCCUCUUCUUUUAACAUGUUUAGGGAUGCAUUACAGCAUAUCAUCGUCACAUUUUUACAUGACAUGCAUUUGUGCUGCAUUUGAUUUCUUGUUAUUUAUUUCAUUCCCCCUUUGCUCUAUUCCUUUGGUAAACCCCGAGACUGCUGCUGUCCUGGAGUACAACCACGACAUCGAUGACCCUUCUUUCUUAGCAGAUCUUCCAGGCAAGCCAAACCCCGUUGAUCAUUCUGAUAUCGCCUUUCCCUUCUCCCGAUUGCUUGCAUUAGAGAAAUGUUACUAUUACUGCUUUAUCAGUAGAUCAUACUAUUGCAUAUCCUAUUUUUGUUAACUGCUGUUGUAAGCAUCCUGUUAUCCUAUAUGCUUAGUAUAGGUUUGCUAUUAUCCCAUUGAUACGUCACUACUAGGGAAAACCCUAGUAGUAGCGCUUGUUUUAUAGCUAGCAGUAGCGCUUGUACAAGUGCUACCACUAAGGCGCCACAGCUAACUUGUAGCAGUAGCGCUGGAAAGGGAGCGCUACUGCUAUACCUAGUUAGCAGUAGCGCUUUUGUUGGGGAAGCGCAACAGAUAGUAGUAAGUAGCAGUAGUGUUUCUUCUGAAAAGCGCUGCUGCUAACUUUUCCUGUAUUUUUAAAAAUACAGCUUAUUUUCGUUGUGGUUUUAUAUACAUUACUUUCAUCAUAUGAUUUAUGACCAUGGUUAGUUAUUAUAUAUAACAGUGGGUGAAAUGAACGUGGAGUAGAUUCUAGUGGAGGAAACAUGUGGUGCACAUCGAAAGUACUACUGAUCCAAACUAACAUGUGGUGCAUGUCGAAAGUACUACUAAUCAAAACUUAAUCUAGUUUGGAUCAGUAGUACUUUCGAUGUGCACCACAUGUUGCCUCCAUUUUAAUCUAUUUCAUGUUCAUUUCACCUACUGAUAUAUAUAAUAACGCAUCAUGCUCAUAUAACAACUUAGCAUCAUGCAUCAUCGAUCAUAAUAAUAAAUAAAUCAUCAUUGGUAUCGUAAUAAAAAGUCCUACUCAUCAUCAUCGAUCAUACAACUUCUACUCGAUACCAUAAUAACUAGUCAUACUCAUUAUCAUCAUAGUCAUCUAACCAAUCAUACUUAGUUGUUCUUAGCACAUGAUCAUGAGUAUUAGCUAGGACCUAAGUACACUUUCUAAGGUAAAAUAGCAUAAAACAAGAUAUGCCCUGACUCUCCAUUAUGGAGAAUGGAGAUUAUCUUGUCUCCAAUCCUUGCCCAUCGCACAAUGUUGCUUCCAAGUAGCUCCCUACGAUUGACCAUACAUUUUUUCCAAUCUUUGAUUGUCAUGUCUUCAUCCCUUUUAGAAAUCAGGUAUGGAUAGGAGUGAUUCGAAGGAUGACCUGGCUGUAAGUUCAAAACAUCAAGACGACCUUUCCGAAACAUCAGAUGAGGCACCCAAUUCUUCGGGAUUUUCUGUUGGAAAACAUAGUAAUGACUUCGUAGUUAGCAAUGCAGUUGAGUUUUAGAAGAAUUUAUGCAAAAUAUGCACGGAUGUCGUAAUAGUAAAAAAUCUUACCAUGAAAUCUCAAUGGAUGUUACCGUAGUUCAACACAGGCAGUAGUGGCACGUAUUGACCAUAAUGUGGAGGAGUUCUCCCGAUAAGUUAAUUCUGAGCCAUCGGUGUAGUAGGUUCCAUCUUCCGCACAUUCUUUGAAGAAUGAAAAGAAGCUAUCAAUGGAAAUAAGUUGUCAACUAUUUUGAAACAAACAAUAUAAAUUACUUAAUAACUAUGUAUGAGAAACUCACAUAGUAGUAGAAUUUGAAGCGUAUCAACAAGGACCCAAAUGUCCAAAUUGUCCUCGGCGAUGUCAAGAUCACCAAGAUCCAUGGUGACAAGAAUAGCCUCAUAAAAACCAUACAUCUUGCAAAGUGCUUUCCAAUUCGUGCAACCAAAAUGGGUUACGCUCUCAGAAUUGUACAUAUUUACGUCAAAAUCUAUACCAUGAUGUGUCCUUAGGUGAAUUUUGUUUGUUUCCAUACUUUCAUGAUCUUCAAAAUCCAGCCUCUCUAAGACAUAGCGUCUUGCAUGGCAUGGGAUAAGCUAGUCGAAUUGUAGAAGACGAAAAUUACACAUUGAAGUAGUAGAAGUCAUGCUUAAUUACGAAAAAAACUUGUCAUCGUUGCAUACUGUUUCAACGUCGAAGGUCUCCUGGAGCUUAAUGCUGAAGCGCCGACCUUCGUCCAGGUGAGGCCUGUCGCACAUACCCCGGUUGUCGUUGCACCAGUCUCACUCCCCUGGGAGACUUUCGUCAUCCGAUGACGACAUUUCCUAGGUUCAUAUAAUUCAAAGAUUAAACUUGUACAACUAAAUAUAUGUACUACAAAACUAAAUUAGAUCAUUAUUAUUCAUCACGGAUUGACUAUCGGUUUGCCGAGUCUUUUGUUGAAAACUCUUAGCUCACGUGGUGUAUAUAUUCGACCGUUGGUAAUGGUCACUCCUCCCUUCGUCCCCAAGUGCAUUACACCAAAAUGUCUAGCACACGGGAACGAAGGAGAAGCGACCCCCACGACAACAGUCGGGAUUCUUCGUCCUCUCAUAUAUGGUGGAGACUCUCCCUGACUGAUUCCUCUCUGACAUUUGCGACCGUCGGUGAUGGUCGUUAAUCCUCCUUCCCCAAGUGCAUAACAAUGGUCUAGCACAAGGAGAAGAAGGAGAAACAACCCCCACGACAACAGUCAGGAUUCUUCAUCCUCUCUCAUAUAUGGUGGAUACACUCCCUCAUUGAUUUUUCUACCGUCGGUGAUGGUCGUUAUUCCUCCUUCCCCUAGUGCAUAACAAAGGUCUGGCACAAGGAGAAGAAGGAAAAAUACCCCCACGACAACAGUCGGGAUUCUUCUUCUCUCAUAUAUGGUGCAGACUUUCUCCCGCACUCAUUUGUUGACUAUCAUGUAUGGAGCCUCGACAGACUUAAAGUCAACCCGAAAUGUCGUUUAAUUAUUUUUCUAGAAAAUCUAGUCCACUCGAUAUUUCCUACAUAUUCUAGCACAAGUCAUGCCAGAAUUCAGGAAAAAAUCUGGCAUGACCUUUGCUAAAAAAGGACAUAUCGAGCACCUGAAAUUCGCCUGAACAGAAAUUAAUCAACACUCUAGCAAAACACUCGGAGGUGUAACCUGCAAACAUGGCCGACCACUUGGGCAAGCACAUAUCCUAUUUGAGCAACACAAGAUAUUCAUGUUUAUAUCUACAUCACAUGAGCAUUCAUACUUGAUGGUCAUUGCAUUUCAAUGGUUGAAAAGAUAAAAAAACAUUUCAAAAUGUCUUAUAGGACUCAUAUUGACAUGGUGAUUUGGCUGGUCUCACCUCGUGGUCGGAGGGGGUCGGUAACGGGGACGACGGCGGGGAUGAUGGAGGGCCUCCUUGAUUUCUACAAAAACAAAAACCUUAUAAGCUAUCAACUAAUCAAAUGCAUAUGUCUUGCAUAAUGGGGUCCAAUUUGAGCAUUCAAAGUAGGACUACUUCUCCAAUUUGAGCAUUCAAUAAGCCAAAUCGUAAAAUAAAUAAGUAUUCAAAUUAGCAUGCAUUCAAUAAGCAAAACUAAAUCAUCUCUUGCAUCCAUACAUUGUCGAAUAUUAUCACUAAUACAUCUCGAAUAGUAUCAUACAUAUAACACUACAAAAAAAAGACACAUCCGUGACAUUUUGGGCCGAAUGAAUGUUUUUUUUCUGUCAUACGUAUGACACUUCUAUGACGAUAAUUGUGACAAAACCCGGUAUCAUCAUAGAUGUGGUGGGCUCCUACUUCUAUGACAAAAAAUCAUGACAGAAAAUGGGCUUUUCAUGCUGUGCGGGCCAGAGACGCAGCUGCAUGACAUUCUUUGGGACGUCCAUGACGGAAAAAACCGUGGUAGAAGCGAGGACGGGGAAAAUAUCGGGGUGUCCCCGGUUACGGUGGGUGGUCGGGGGCCGAGCGAUGCGCGUUUCUCUAGUAUGUACGCACGUGUGUGUGAGGCGUUGCACUCUAACUGAACCCGAGCGAGGGAUUCGCCUACUGAACCCGAGCGAUUGCACUGCAAGCUACGUGUUACUGAACCCGAGCGAUGAUCGAUGGUUGUUAACUGAACCCGAUCGAGUAAUUCCUUCGCUACUGCUGCUAACUGAAGCUGAUCGAUGCUACCUCUGGAUGAACAGUGAGUGUUGUUGGGGGGUUUGGAUGAACAGUUCCCGGUGGGGGGUUGGAUGAACAGGACCCCGUGGUGUUGCCGCUGGAUGAACAGGACCCCGAUCGAUCGGCCGGUUGGGCGUGGAUGAGCAGGACCCCGUGGAGGGCUGGAUGAACAGGAACCCGUGGAGGGAAGGUUGAAUAGGACCCCGUGGAGGGCUGGUUGAACAGUAGCCGGUGGAGGGCUGGAUGAACAGGACCCAUGGAGGUAAGGUUGAACAGGACACCGUGGAGGGCUGGUUGAACAGUAGCCGUUGGAGGGCUGGAUGAAGAGUAGCCCGUGGAGGGGUGGUUGAACAGGACCCCGUGGACAGGGCUGGUUGAACAGUAGCCGGUGGAGGAGCGGUGAAGGAUGGAUGAACAGGAGUCCAUGGAUGAACAGUCACAGGAGGAGGCAGGAGGAGGUCGACGGUGGAUGAACAGUAGCCCAUGGAGGCUGGAGGAGGUCGACGGUGGAGAUGAACAGUAUCCCAUGGAGUCCCGUUUUGCGGUACGCCACACCCCUCCCGAUGAACAGGACCCCCAUUUCGACCGUAUCGCUCCAACACAAGUCUGUUUUCUCUGUUUUGCGGUACACCACACCCCUCCCGGUGAAGAGGACCCCAUUUCGACCAUAGGAGGUCCAAUAGAAGUCUGUUUCCUCCGUUUUGCAAUAUGCCAGACCCCUCCCGAUGAACAAGAUCCCGUUUCGACCGUGGCCGGUCGAACACAAGGCCGUUUCCUCCAUUCUGCGGUACGCCAUGCCUCAUUUCCAUCGGUUGUUCCAUCUAAGCCGGUUGGCUCCCGAUGAACAGCACGCGUUCCGUUGCCUCCCGAUGAACACGACGCAUUUUGUUGCCUCCCCAUGAACACAAUGACGACGCAGUUUCUUCAUUUCGACCCAGCCAUGUACACGAGCCCUGACCGUACGUAUGCGCGAGUAGGCGUUCGAGACCCCGCCCAGACAUACGUACGUGGCCAUAUUUUAUUUCUUGCACCCUGGCCACUGUACGUACGUGUACAUGUUACGUGCGCGCCUCUACUACGACACGUGCCCUUCCUUGCACGGUCACGGUUCAUCAUUGCAGCCUAAAGACAAACGAUCGACCAAUAUGUACGUAUGCGUUGGCGACCAGAAUGACAAUGCUACAUACGCUUCGACCAGGUGGGUCCCGACUGUCAGGCACUUCCUAGCGUGCGAAGAUGUAGCUAGUGGGUCCCAGCAGCUAAGGGGCGAAUCGUUUUUUUGCCCGUAAUAUGGGCGCACUUCCUUACAUGCGAAGAUGUAGCUGGUGGGUCCCAGCAGUCAGGGGGAAAGGUUUUUUUCGCCAAAUACAGUGGCCCGUCUGGUGGGUCCCUACUGUCAGGUGGAAGAAUAAUUAUUUUUCAUGUAAUAAGGAGGCACUUCCUUGCUGCGGCCGUGGACCCAGCUGUCAGCCUCUUCAGGUACAAUACUGUUUCGAUGGAAGUCAUUCGUUGACCACAUUGACCACACUGCGCCGAGAGCACCAAGGCGGUGGAUGACGGCGAGGCCUAGGAAGGGGACGACAAGGAGCCGGGGAAGGUGCGACAGUGGAUGCCCACACGGAGAGGAGUAUGUGGGUUCACUGGUUCGGCUGCGGUGUGAGGAUGUCGUCGCCGCAGGUCCUGGCCAGCGUUGGGAGUGGUAGGGGGCGGUGAGGCCUCCGUGGCAGCACAGCCGGCCACGGGAGGUAGGAGUAGGCGGCACGAUCGGCGCUGCUUUGGGCGGCUGGAGCAAGAAGACCAGAGGUUGAAGAAUCACAAUGGCCGUUUGAUGGACAUCGUACGAUCACUGGAGAUAGAAUCGUUUAUAUUGACUAAGUUGACAAAGCCCUUGGUAUGCGUCAACUUAGUACGCCCACAGGCCAGCAACCGAAAUGGUGCACCCCAGAUGUCAGGGGGAGGAAUCAUUUUUUGGGCGGCUGAAGCUAGAAUAUCCGAGAUUGAAGAAGAAGCACGACAUCCGUUGGAUGGACAUCCAACGCACACUGCUGCUAGAACCGUGUGUUGACUAUAAGUUGAUAAAGCCUUGCAUACGCAUGAACUUAGUAGGCCCACAAGUGUGUGGUAGAGAACUUAUAGCCCAUUUGCGAUUUGUAAGAAUGUACAACCCAUUUUUGAAUUCUAAUGGAAUUUACUACAGCCCAUUUACAGUUUGUUAAAGUACAUCCCAUUUUCUAGCUAGGACAACGACUAAUAAUUUCAACCAACCGUUCAAAACAGAAUUCAAUGAAAUUUCCCACAUUUUGAUAUGAUCCAAAAUAUUUUUGUCCUGAAAUUUCUAGUCAGAUUAAAUUCAAUUUCAAUAUAAAUUUGUAUUACGUAAAAAUCCAACGAAACAUUGUGCGUGCAAUAAUUAAUGAAAUUAAAAUUUUCAAAAUCAAAAAGUAAUAUUUUAUAAAGUAAUUACAUGUUUGGUGCAUUUUUUAUAGUUACUGCCCAGUUUUUAUAAUUACAUCCCAUUUAUUAUUUCUUAAAUCCCAUUUUCUUGUUAAGCCUAAUGCAUCCCUCCUAGGAAAGAUUUGCAGCCCAGCGGGGCGGAGAAUAACAAGUUGACCUGGAUUGUUUGCAACUGUCGGCCCAAUUGCAUUGCUGAUGUUGAAAAAAAAGGUUUGUGUAGUACAAUGCAACCUUACAUGGCUACUCAUCCCACAUUUAGCGAUGAUGAAAAGGCCCAAAAAAGGCUUCUGUACAACUUUUUGAAGUCACUGAGCUCAAUUAAUAACUUAAGAGAAAAGUUAGAGUAUAGUGGAACCUAAUUAAAAGCUGUCACGAGCGAAGAAAUAAUUCAACGGGUCCCACUUGUGUGUGUGUGUGUGUGUGAGAGAGAGAGAGAGAGAGAGACCCAUUGGUCGAUGCUCAUAAAUACAUUUUUCAGCCAUAUGCAUUGAUGAUGCUCAGUAAAAACUUAUAUAGUUGACACAAUCAUAUAGAACAUCAUAGUACACUGAACUUGCAUACAAAUAUUUCACGCAGGCGGCACAAUCAGGGUGGAAGCAAUGGAUCGCUACGGGUAGGGCUAUGUUGAAACCAACGAACUCGUACAUAACGGUUCAUCGUCUUUAUCAAUGACGGGGAAAUAUCUUGAAGGUUGUGCAAAGAAAAUAGACAGACAACACAACAUAUAAGUUCUGCUAGAACAUUAAGUUGACGUACAUCCCUUUCUAAAAAAAGUUUAGGUAAAAAAUAGAACAUGUCAUGUGAAAAGAUACAGUUGUUACCUCAAAUUAGAUCACAUCCAGGCAGCCAGCCCUGCCUCUUCUUCCAAAGAAGCAGUAGCCUCCGCCGCGCGAUGGAGUAGGCCAUGUGCCAUCCAUCGUUUUGAGCAACAUGGGGAAAGUCUGACGUUGACUCCUGUAAUGGAUGUCGUCGACGGAACCGGGCAUCAGCAGCGGCGGCAGGACUUUGAUUGAUGGAUUGACCACUUCUUCAACAUGCACGAACACUCGAUACAGGUACAUUCCUAAUGUGGUCCGCGGCUGUAACACCGCGGAUGUAACUUUCCAUAUUUGUAACUCCAACUCUUGCCAUUUUCGGCUAUGUGCUAUGGUUUUCCCUCCGUGGUUGGGUUUUGUUCUCGUUUUUCAUUUUGUUCAUGUCAUGCAUCUCAUAUCAUGUCAUCAUGUGCAUCUCAUUUGCAUACGUGUUCGUCUCAUGCAUCUGAGCAUUUUCCCCAUUGUCCGUUUUGCAUUCCGACGCUCCCACAUGCACCGGCGCACCCCUCGUGUCUCUUUGUCGUGAGAGGGUGUUAAACGUUCUCAGAAUGGACCGAGGCUUGCCAAGUGGCCUUGGUACACCACCGGUAGACCACCCGUCAAGUUUCGAGUCAUUUGGAGUUCGUUUGAUACUCCAACGGUUAACCGGGUAACCGCAUAGACCUCUUUUGAGUUGCAGCCCAACACCCCUCCAAAACAGCCCAAUAACCCAUCUAAGUCACUUCCAUGCUCUCCAUCGUCGGAUCACGAUCGUGUGGGCGAAAACUGCACCUCAUUUGGAGUCUCCUAGCUCCCUCUACCUAUAAAUAUGUGCACUCCCCCGAAUUUCCGGAUCCCCAAACCCUAGCCCGCUCCUCCNNNNNNNNNNNNNNNNNNNNNNNNNNNNNNNNNNNNNNNNNNNNNNNNNNNNNNNNNNNNNNNNNNNNNNNNNNNNNNNNNNNNNNNNNNNNNNNNNNNNNNNNNNNNNNNNNNNNNNNNNNNNNNNNNNNNNNNNNNNNNNNNNNNNNNNNNNNNNNNNNNNNNNNNNNNNNNNNNNNNNNNNNNNNNNNNNNNNNNNNNNNNNNNNNNNNNNNNNNNNNNNNNNNNNNNNNNNNNNNNNNNNNNNNNNNNNNNNNNNNNNNNNNNNNNNNNNNNNNNNNNNNNNNNNNNNNNNNNNNNNNNNNNNNNNNNNNNNNNNNNNNNNNNNNNNNNNNNNNNNNNNNNNNNNNNNNNNNNNNNNNNNNNNNNNNNNNNNNNNNNNNNNNNNNNNNNNNNNNNNNNNNNNNNNNNNNNNNNNNCGCCCCGUCGCCCGCCCCACGCAGGUCCGCCGCCGAGCGCCGCCGCCUCUCCCUCAACCCCGCCGGCGACCGCGCCCCGGCCGGCCCCAUCUUCCCCCCGGUCUCCUCCCUGCUCCUCUCCGGCGAGGAACUCCGGCCGGCGAACCUCGAAGCACGCGCCGAUCCGGAUCCAGAUCCAGAAACUCGGUUGACUUUCUUCUCCCCGAAAAUCCCCUAAGUCAUUUCCUGUCAUAAAUUGUUGCAUUUUCAUUGCAUCACAUCUUUGCACCCGUGGCUCCGUUUUGGGCGUGUAGCAUACCGAUUUGUUCGCCCGAUGAGUACAUCAUUUUCAUUUGAGCUCAUCUAGAUGCCCGAAAUUCUGUUGGAAGAGGGCUAUGUGAUGUUAGUUUCUGUUUCUUAACAGAACAUGCACUUUUGUCAUUUUUGCCAUGAUUAAUGUGUGCAUCUUAUGAAUUUGAGCCCUACAUAUGUUUUGAUCUAUGCCAUGCCAGCUUUACAGGGGUGUAUGCCAUGUAUUUUUGUGAUCAAUGUGGUGACUAGCACAAGCAUGCAAACAAGGGAUCAUAAUGUUGCUGAUUUCAGGGACUUGGUAUUUUCACUAAGUCAUGCCCUGCUGUUAUUUUUAUGCCAUGUGUUCAUGUUGUUAUAGAGAGAUCUAUACCCAUUUUGAGCAUGAUCAGUAAGGGUGUUUUGAACAUAUGUAUGUGCUCUAUCCAUCCAUGCCUUUGUUGGCAAUUAUGGAGUAGUCUAGCAUGUCAUUUUCGUGCUCUACUUUUCCUACAAAAUAUUUCCUGGCAGAUUGUUUAUAUGAUAUUCAAUUUUCACAAGGUUGUUGUAGUUGAUCCGUGUAUGCUAUGAUGUUGUUCUUGCCAAGUAUAGCUUCUAUGCCAUGUCUUCUUGAUGGGUGUAUGCUUAGUUUAUCAUGAGAUGCUCCGUAGUGAGUGCAUCGAGCUCACGAACAUGCCUACUUGUUAUCUGUUUUUGCCAUGUCCAGUUUUUCUGCUAAGUCUGAGAUCUGUAAUGAAACUUGCUAUGUUUACAUGGGUGCCAUCAUUUCUUAUGGUCCUUUUUGGCUUAUGGUUAGUAAGGGACUUUUGAUCUAUGCUUUGAGUAGAAUCAUGUCAUGCCUUGUUUUGCUAUUAUAAGUUCCUGUAGCAGGUUGUUUGCUUGCUCUAAACAUGCCUUCCUGAUGUUAAUUUCUGGCAUACUAGUAUUUUCACUAAGUCUGUGAACCUGAUAUUUUUUUGCACUUUCACCAUGCUUGUUUGAACCUGUUAUGAUGUGAUUUAGCCGUAGCUCAGUGUUCCUCUUUUGUUAAGCAUCUCCUGUAGAUCACUGCCAUAUGCUCUGUUUGUAUGUUGGGGUGCUGUAGCAUAUUUUCUUGUUGCAUGCUAAGUAGCAUCGUGCUGUUAAUCGCAGAUUUGUGCCAUUAUUGUCUUGCUUGCCAUUUGCAAACCGUGCAUCCGAUUCCGGUGAUCUUUAUAUCGAUUUCAACCGAAAUCAUCUCAUCUUUCCAGCGGCAUACUUGGUUUGCCAAGUUGAUGCCUUGUUCAUCAUUUUCCCUUCCGGAGCACACAUAUGCAUUGCAUAUCACAUCUCGCAUAUCAUGUCAUGUAUUGCAUCAUAUUGCUUGUGCAUUGCUCCAUGUUUGAUUGUGGUUCCAUUGCUUGUGUUCUUGCUUUGGGUAGAGCCGGGAGACGAGUACAUGAAGGAGGAACCUGUUGAGAACGCUUACGAGGAUCAAGCCUUCGACAACCCUGAGAACUUUGCAGGCAAGAUGACCAUACCCUCGAAAUCACUUCUAUCUUUGCUUGCUAGAUGCUCGCUCUUUUGCUAUGCCUAUGCUACGUUACCUACCUCUUGCUAUAUCAUGCCACCCAUAUUGCCAUGUCAAACCUUUAACCAUCCUUUCCUAGCAAACCGUUGUUUGGCUAUGUCACCGCUUUUGCUCAGCCCCUCUUAUAGCGUUGCUAGUUGCAGGUGAAGAUGAAGUUUGUUCCUUGUUGGAACAUGGAUACUUUGGGAUAUCACAAUAUCUCCUGUUUAAUUAAUGCACCUUAUAUACUUGGUAAAGGGUGGAAGGCUCGGCCUUAUGCCUGGUGUCUUGUUCCACUCUUGCCGCCCUAGUUUCCGUCAUACCGGUGUUAUGUUCCUUGAUUUUGCGUUCCUUACGCGGUUGGGUGAUUUAUGGGACCCAGUGACAGUUCACUUUGAAUAAAACUCCUCCAGCAAGGCCCAACCUUGGUUUUACCAUUUGCCACCUAAGCCUUUUUCCCUUGGGUUUUCGCGAGCCCGAGGGUCAUCUUUAUUUAACCCCCCGGGCCAAUGCUCCUCUGAGUGUUGGUCCAAACUAGAGCGCUUUGCAGUGCCCCCUCAAGGAAACUUGGGGUCUGGUUUUAGUUGUACGGACUGCUCAUCCGGUGUGCCCUGAGAACGAGAUAUGUGCAGCUCCUAUCGGGAUUUGUCGGCACAUUCGGGAGGCUUUGCUGGUCUAGUUUUACCAUUGUCGAAAUGUCAUGCGAACCGGGAUUCCGAGACUGAUCGGGUCUUCCCGGGAGAAGGUUUAUCCUUCGUUGACCGUGAGAGCUUAUGAUGGGCUAAGUUGGGACACCCCUGCAGGGUAUUAUCUUUCGAAAGCCGUGCCCGCGGUUAUGAGGCAGAUGGGAAUUUGUUAAUGUCCGGUUGUAGAUAACUUGACACUUGACUUCAUUAAAAUGCAUCAACCGCGUAUGUAACCGUGAUGGUCUCUUCUCGGCGGAGUCCGGGAAGUGAACACGGUGUUGGAGUUAUGUUUGAUGCAGGUUGCUCUAGGAUCACUUCUUGAUCGCUUCUAGAUUCACGACCGUGCCUUGCUUCUCUUCUCGCUCUCUUUUGCGAAUGUAGCCACCAUAUAUGCUAGUCGCUUGCUGCAGCUCCACCUCACAACUCUGACCUACCUAUAAGCUUAAAUAGUCUUGAUCUCGCGGGUGUGAGAUUGCUGAGUCCCCAUGGCUCACAGAUUCUACCAAAACAGAUGCAGGUACCGAUGAUACCAGCGCAAGUGGCGCAAUCGAGCUCAAGUGGGAGUUUGACGAGGACCGUGGUCGUUACUAUGUUUCAUUUCCAGACGAUCAGUAGUGGAGCCCAGUUGGGACGAUCGGGGAUCUGUGUGGCAUUUGGGGUAGUCUUCUUUUAUUUUGGUUCCGUAGUCGGACCUUGAGUGUAAUCUGAAUGAUGGAUGUUUAUUUAUGUAUUGUGUGAAGUGGCGACUAUAAGCCAACUAUGUAUCUCUUUCCCUUAUGUAUUACAUGGGUUGUGUGAAGAUUACCUCACUUGCGACAUUGCUUUCAAUGCGGUUAUGCCUCUAAGUCGUGCUUCGACACGUGGGAGAUAUAGCCGCAUCGAGGGCGUUACAAGUUGGUAAUCAGAGCCAUCCCCGACUUAGGAGCCCCCUGCUUGAUUGUUUGCUGGUGUUGUUGAGUCUAGAACAAAAAUGUUUUGAGUCUUAGGAUUAUAUAUAUCGGAGAGUAGGAUUCUUUUUACUCCUCAGUCCCUUCGUCGCUCUGGUGAGGUCUCCUAAUGUAGAAGUUUUGACUCUCCUCUCCUCAAAUUUCACUAAAAAUAUUUUUAGGAUCACGCGGGUAUCUUGGAAUCGUUCCGAUGGUUUUGUGACGAGAACAUUGUUCUUGGUGCCUCCUGACAUUUAGGGGUUGUGGCAGUGUCCCGGGGAGUUGAGCUCCGAGGUGUUGUCGUCACAAUUUUAUCGUUGCAAUUCUGGAAUACCUGAGUUUUGCCGACAUCGAAAAUCUCUUUUGUACAGUUGUUGGUGAGAUAACCCCGAUAACCCAGUACUGAGGUGAGUACGGGAGUAUUGCCAUGACUCGUAUAACUGAUGCUUUUCGAAGGUUGAGGUACACGAUCUCCGAAGGUUUCUUGGUUACGUGUUGACGGAUGGAUACAGCUGGAUGUAGGGAUUGUUAGUUUGGGUGAGAUAUAUUGCUUCCCCUGUAUCCCCAACACCUGAUUGCAUAACCGGAAAGUUUCGGGAGUUUAUUGGUGGGAUUCAAGUAGCUCUAGCACUUCUUCCCGCAGAUAUUUGGUUUGUGAUUGGGUAAUCCUUACCACUUAUUUGUUCCAUUCAUACCUUGUUUUUAUUUUCAUUCAUCAAUCUCUUAUCAAGUGGCUUCUCACCUUAAUGGACAUGAUGUUUACUUUGGAAUUCAUUCGUUCAUCCUUGUUCGAAUGUUUAUUGUGAAGUCUAUAUGUUGCAAUUUCUAUCCAUUGAUUCAACUUGUCUAUCUGUCUAUCAAGAUGCUAACCGAUGUCACCCUCUUCAGGAUGGCUCCGCCAACGCGCCAGAAUCCGGAACGCAGUGAUGGGAGUCAGGCGAACCCUCCACCUCCACCUCCGCCUCCGGAGGCAUGGCAAACUUUGAUGGCAACCACUAACGCCAAAGUUCAGUUGUUGAUUCAGCUGAUGCAAGAGCGUAACCAAGGCCAAGGCAACCAAGGGAAUCAAGGUCAAGCACAGUUCAACCAUCAGCCUCAGUUUCCUACCCUCAACCAGUUCCUUGCAAAUCAGCCAAAGUCUUUCAGCUACUGUGCCGAGGCCACAGACGCAGACGAUUGGCUCGUGGAUAUCAACAAGCAUUUCGAAUGCAGUAAUGUCAGACCUGAGGACUACGUCAAGUUCACGUCUUUUCAGCUCAAGGAUCAAGUAGCUGAUUGGUUCCAGCAAUACAAGGAUUCCAAAGGAGGUCGAGUGAUUACUUGGACUGACUUUUGUCGGGACUUUAAAGCUCACCACAUUCCUACCAGUGUUGUUGAGAGCAAGCGUGAGGAGUUCCGCAAUCUCAAGCAAGGCAACAUGUCAGUGUACGAAUACAACAAGCAGUUUCAGAAACUUGCUCGCUUCGCUAAACAAGACGUUCCUGAUGAAAAGAGUAUGAUCUAUCAAUUCAGAGGUGGCCUUAGAGAGGAUCUGCAGUUAGCUCUCGUUCUUGUUGAGCUUACUCAGUUUGAUCAAUUCUACAAUAUGGCACUCAAGCAAGAAGGUGCUCAGCUCAAGUGUGAGGCUUCAAAGAAGAGAAUCAGGGAUGCAGUUCAGUCUUCUUCUUCCUCUCAAGGCGCAGCUAAGCAGCAAAAGUUCUACCUUCCUCCUCCUCCGUUCCGUCAGCCUUAUCAAUAGAAGAACUCAGGUGGUCAUGGAUCUUCCCACCCACCCAACCCAAGCUACCAAAACAAGUCUCAGCCUCAAGCUCCAAGGUCAAAUGCUCCUUAUCAUCGUCCGCUCUCAGAGGUGACUUGCAACAAGUGCCAGCAGAAAGGUCACUAUGCGAACAAAUGCUUCAACCAAAGGCGCCUUCCUCCUCCUCCUCCUGUGAGGUCUUCAAGCAAUGCAGUGGUCAAGCAUAAUCCCAAGUCUGCAAAGGUGAACAUGAUGAAUGCAGCGCAAGCAGAGGAUUCUUCUGACGUGAUAAUGGGUAAUCUUCCAGUUAAUGAUAUUCCUGCAAAAGUUUUAUUUGAUACUGGUGCAUCGCAUUGUUUCAUAUCAAGACCUUUUGCAUCUAAGCAUGAGUUGGGUUAUCAAGAAUUGCCUAGUUCUUUAUCAGUUGUGUUCCCGGGUAAGCAAAUGACAACUAAUAAUUGCGUCCUGGAUGUUUCUAUCAAGAUGGGCGACUACAAAUUUCUGUCUAAACCAAUUGUCCUUGGUGACUCGGACAUCGAUCUAAUUCUCGGGAUGGACUGGCUUUCUAAGCACAAGGCUCAACUUGAUUGUGCUGCCAGGGAAAUUCAAUUAACACACUCUUCUAAGGAUGUUAUCAUCUAUGCCGCUCGUGAUGAAACCAUUCGGUUGUUUUCUCUCAAUGAGAAGGGCGAGCUAGACGCAAUCUCGCAAAUUCCAGUCGUUUGUGAGUACCAAGAUGUCUUUCUAGAAGAGCUUCCGGGUAUGCCUCCACACCGGCCAGUCGAAUUCGUUAUCGAUCUUGAGCCUGGCACUGAACCCGUUUGCAAGCGUCCAUACAAGCUUGGACCUGAAGAACUGAAGGAAUUGAAGAAACAGCUCAAUGAACAAGAGCGUCUGGGUUUGAUCAGACCGAGUUCAUCUCCAUGGGGAUGUGGAGUUCUUUUUGUCUAGAAGAAGGAUGGCACGGACCGACUUUGCGUCGAUUACCGUCCAUUGAACAAGAAGACAAUCAAGAACAAGUAUCCACUUCCCAACAUCAAUGAGCUAUUCGAGCAACUCAAAGGUGCUAAAGUUUACUCCAAGCUAGACCUCCAUAUGGGUUAUCAUCAGAUUCGCAUUCGUGAACAAGAUAUCCCCAAGACAACAUUCAGAACAAGCUAUGGUUCUUAUGAAUAUACCGUCAUGUCUUUCGGCCUUGUCAAUGCUCCUCCAACAUUCUUUCGAAUGAUGAACUUUAUCUUCAACCCCUACACCAAUGAUUUCGUCUUGGUGUAUCUCGAUGAUAUUUUGGUCUUCUCCAAGAAUAAGCAGGAUCAUGCCAAACAUUUGCGAUUGGUGCUCGACAAGCUCAGAGAGCAUCAAUUCUAUGCGAAGUUUUCCAAAUGUCAGUUCUGGCUUGAUGAAGUUCUUUAUCUUGGUCACAUCAUCUCCGCCAAGGGCAUUGCUGUUAAUCCCGAGAAGGUGUCUUCAAUUGUGAAUUGGGAACCUCCUCAGAAUGUCAAGCAGCUCCGCAGUUUUCUUGGUCUUGCAAGCUAUUGCCGAAGAUUCGUCGAGAACUUCUCCAAGAUUGCAAAGCCUCUUUCCAACCUCCUCCAGAAGCAUGUCAAGUAUGUCUGGACGCCUGAGUGUGACGUUGCUUUCAACACCCUCAAAGAGAAGCUAGUUACAGCUCCUAUCUUGACUCCUCCUGAUGAAUCCAAACCAUUCGAGGUAUUCUGUGAUGCUUCUCUUCAAGGUCUCGGUGCUGUCUUCAUGCAAGAGAAGAAAGUUGUGGCCUAUACCUCUCAUCAGUUGAAGCCCAACGAAAAGAACUACCGCACUCACAAUCUUGAGUUGGCGGCAGUUGUCCAUGCAUUAAUAACAUGGAGACAUCUCUUGUUGGGAAGGAAAGUGGACAUUUUCACCGAUCACAAGAGUCUCAAGUAUAUCUUCACUCAACCUAACCUCAACCUCAGGCAAACUCGAUGGGUCGAAAUGAUUCAAGAGUACAAUCCAAGUAUUGAAUAUACUCCUGGCAAGGCGAAUGUGAUUGUAGAUGCCUUGAGCAGAAAGGAUUAUUGCAACAGCUUAAUUCUCAAGCCCUUCCAACCGGAUCUUUGUGAAGCUUUCCGCAAGCUGAAUCUUCAAGUUGUUCCUCAAGGCUUUCUUGCCAACCUCAUAGUCUCUCCUACUUUGGAAGAUCAAAUUCGUGAGGCACAACUCCUGGAUACCAUGGUGAAGAAGGUGAAACGUGGUAUUGACAAGGGCAUUUCCAAAUACAAGUGCUAUCACUUGGAUGACAAAGAUACUCUUUUCUUCGAGGAUCGAAUUGUGGUUCCCAAAGGCGAUCUGAGAAAAGUCAUCAUGAAUGAGGCACACAAUUCUCUUCUAUCCAUUCAUCCUGGUAGUACGAAGAUGUACCAUGACCUCAAGCAGUCGUAUUGGUGGACUCGAAUGAAGCGAGAAAUUGCUCAAUUCGUGAAUGAAUGUGAUGUCUGCAGAAGGGUGAAAGCAGAACACCAAAGACCAGCUGGUCUCCUUCAACCUCUUGCUAUUCCAGAAUGGAAGUUUGAUCAUAUCGAGAUGGACUUCGUGACUGGAUUUCCUAAAUCCAAGCGUGGAAAUGAUGCUAUCUUCGUUGUCAUUGACAAGCUUACUAAAGUGGCUCAUUUUCUUCCUAUCAAAGAAUCUAUCACAACAGCUCAGUUGGCAGAGCUAUACACCUCCAGAAUUGUCUCCUUGCACGGUAUUCCACAAUUGAUCUCUUCAGACCGCGGAAGCAUCUUCACUUCUAAGUUCUGGGACUCCUUUCAGAAGGCCAUGGGCACCAACAUUCGUUUCAGCACAGCUUUCCAUCCUCAAACUAGUGGCCAAGUGGAGCGAGUCAAUCAAAUCCUUGAAGAUAUGCUCAGGGCUUGUGUCAUUUCCUUUGGCAUGAAGUGGGAAGAUUUUCUUCCAUAUGCCGAGUUCUCCUACAACAACAGCUUCCAAGCGAGUUCGGGCAAGGCCCCAUUCGAAAUCCUCUAUGGCAGAAAGUGCCAUACUCCUCUCAAUUGGUCCGAGACAGGUGAACGCCAACUUCUUGGCAACGACUUGAUCACAGAAGCCGAAGAAAUGUGCAAAGUCAUUCGUGAGAAUCUCAAAGCCGCGCAAUUACGCCAGAAGGGCUAUUAUGAUGACAAGCACCGUGAUGUGGCUUUUGAAAUCGAAGACCAUGUCUACCUCCGCGUCUCUCCAAUGAAAGGCACUCGUCGCUUCGGUAUCAAAGGGAAGCUUGCCCCUAGAUACGUGGGUCCUUUCAAGAUCAUUGUCAAAAGAGGCGAUCUCGCCUAUCAACUUGAGCUUCUGUCCAAUUUUGCAAACAUGCACGAUGUGUUUCACGUGUCACAGCUUCACAAGUGCUUCACGACUCCUGAGCGCACUAUCAACAUCGAAGAGAUUGACCUCCAAGAAGAUCUCUCUUAUCAUGAGCACCCCGUUGCUAUUCUUGAAGAAACCGAGCGCAAGACUCGCAACAAGUCAAUCAAAUUCCUGAAAGUGAAGUGGUCACACCAUUCCGAUCGAGAAGCCACCUGGGAGAGCGAGGAUCACCUCUGUUCCGAAUAUCCGGAGUUCUUUCAGUGCUAGAUCUCGGGAUGAGAUCCUCUUGUAGUGGUGGAGUGUUGUAACACCCCGAAUGUAACUUUCCAUAUUUGUAACUCCAACUCUUGCCAUUUUCGGCUAUGUGCUAUGGUUUUCCCUCCGUGGUUGGGUUUUGUUCUCGUUUUUCAUUUUGUUCAUGUCAUGCAUCUCAUAUCAUGUCAUCAUGUGCAUCUCAUUUGCAUACGUGUUCGUCUCAUGCAUCUGAGCAUUUUCCCCGUUGUCCGUUUUGCAUUCCGACGCUCCCACAUGCACCGGCGCACCCCUCGUGUCUCUUUGUCGUGAGAGGGUGUUAAACGUUCUCGGAAUGGACCGAGGCUUGCCAAGUGGCCUUGGUACACCACUGGUAGACCACCUGUCAAGUUUUGAGUCAUUUGGAGUUGGUUUGAUACUCCAACGGUUAACCGGGUAACCGCAUAGACCUCUUUUGAGUUGCAGACCAACACCCCUCCAAAACAGCCCAAUAACCCAUCUAAGUCACUUCCAUGCUCUCCGUCGUCGGAUCAUGAUCGUGUGGGCGAAAACCGCACCUUAUUUGGAGUCUCCUAGCUCCCUCUACCUAUAAAUAUGUGCACUCCCCCGAAUUUCCGGAUCCCCAAACCCUAGCCCGCUCCUCCGCCGCCGCCGGACACGUCCGGGCGAGCCGGACACGUCCGCUGCCGCGCCCCGACGAAUCAGGCGCCGCCACGUGCCCGGGCCGGCCCCAGUUCACCGCCGACCCCGCGGGCCCGCGAGGCCCGUGCGNNNNNNNNNNNNNNNNNNNNNNNNNNNNNNNNNNNNNNNNNNNNNNNNNNNNNNNNNNNNNNNNNNNNNNNNNNNNNNNNNNNNNNNNNNNNNNNNNNNNNNNNNNNNNNNNNNNNNNNNNNNNNNNNNNNNNNNNNNNNNNNNNNNNNNNNNNNNNNNNNNNNNNNNNNNNNNNNNNNNNNNNNNNNNNNNNNNNNNNNNNNNNNNNNNNNNNNNNNNNNNNNNNNNNNNNNNNNNNNNNNNNNNNNNNNNNNNNNNNNNNNNNNNNNNNNNNNNNNNNNNNNNNNNNNNNNNNNNNNNNNNNNNNNNNNNNNNNNNNNNNNNNNNNNNNNNNNNNNNNNNNNNNNNNNNNNNNNNNNNNNNNNNNNNNNNNNNNNNNNNNNNNNNNNNNNNNNNNNNNNNNNNNNNNNNNNNNNNNNNNNNNNNNNNNNNNNNNNNNNGCCUCUCCCUCAACCCCGCCGGCGACCGCGCCCGGGCCGGCCCCAUCUUCCCCCCGGUCUCCUCCCUGCACCUCUUCGGCGAGGAACUCCGGCCGGCGAACCUCGAAGCACGCGCCGAUCCGAAUCCAGAUCCAAAAACUCGGUUGACUUUCUUCUCCCCGAAAAUCCCCUAAGUCAUUUCCUGUCAUAAAUUGUUGCAUUUUCAUUGCAUCACAUCUUUGCACCCGUGGCCCCGUUUUGGGCGUGUAGCAUACCGAUUUUUUCGUCUCGAUGAUUACAUCAUUUCAUCUCAUUGCACCAUUGUCAUUUGAGCUCAUAUUGAUGCCCGAAAUGCUGUUGGAAGAGGGCUAUGUGAUGUUAGUUUCUGUUUCUUAACAGAACAUGCACUUUUGUCAUUUUUGCCAUGAUUAAUGUGUGCAUCUUAUGAAUUUGAGCCCUACAUAUGUUUUGAUCUAUGCCAUGCCAGCUUUACAGGGGUGUAUUCCAUGUAUUUUUGUGAUCAAUGUGGUGACUAGCACAAGCAUGCAAACUAGGGAUCAUAAUGUUGCUGAUUUCAGGGACUUGGUAUUUUCACUAAGUCAUGCCCUGCUGUUAUUUUUAUGCCAUGUGUUCAUGUUGUUACAGAGAGAUCUAUGCCCAUUUUGAGCAUGAUCAGUAAGGGUGUUUUGAACAUAUGGAUGUGCUCUAUCCAUCCAUGCCUUUGUUGGCAAUUAUGGAGUAGUCAAGCAUGUCAUUUUCGUGCUCUACUUUUGCUAUAAAAUGUUUCCUGGCAGAUUGUUUACAUGAUAUUCAAUUUUCACAAGGUUGUUGUAGUUGAUCCGUGUAUGCUAUGAUGUUGUUCUUGCCAUGUAUAGCUUCUAUGCCAUGUCUUCUUGAUGGGUGUAUGCUUAGUUUAUCAUGAGAUGCUCCAUAGUGAGUGCAUUAAGCUCACGAACAUGCCUACUUGUUAUCUGUUUUUGCCAUGUCCAGUUUUUCUGCCAAGUCUGAGAUCUGUAAUGAAACUUGCUAUGUUUACAUGGGGCCAUCAUUUCUUAUGGUCCUUUUUGGCUUAUGGUCAGUAAGGGACUUUUGAUCUAUGCUUUGAGUAGAAUCAUGUCAUGCCUUGUUUUGCUAUUAUAAGUUCCUGUAGCAGGUUGUUUGCUUGCUCUAAACAUGCCUUCCUGAUGUUAAUUUCUGGCAUACUAGUAUUUUCACAAAGUCUGUGAACCUGAUAUUUUUUUUGCACUUUCACCAUGCUUGUUUGAACCUGUUAUGAUGUGAUUUAGCCGUAGCUCAGUGUUCCUCUUUUGUUAAGCAUCUCCUGUAGAUCACUGCCAUAUGCUCUGUUUGUAUGUUGGGGUGCUGUAGCAUAUUUUCUUGUUGCAUGCUAAGUAGCAUCGUGCUGUUAAUCGCAGAUUUGUGCCAUUAUUGUCUUGCUUGCCAUUUGCAAACCGUGCAUCCGAUUCCGGUGAUCUUUAUAUCGAUUUCAACCGAAAUCAUCUCAUCUUUCCAGCGGCAUACUUGGUUUGCCAAGUUGAUGCCUUGUUCAUCAUUUUCCCUUCCGGAGCACACAUAUGCAUUGCGUAUCACAUCUCGCAUAUCAUGUCAUGUAUUGCAUCAUAUUGCUUGUGCAUUGCUCCAUGUUUGAUUGUGGUUCCAUUGCUUGUGUUCUUGCUUUGGGUAGAGCCGGGAGACGAGUACAUGAACGAGGAACCUGUUGAGAACGCUUACGAGGAUCAAGCCUUCGACAACCCUGAGAACUUUGCAGGCAAGAUGACCAUACCCUCGAAAUCACUUCUAUCUUUGCUUGCUAGAUGCUCGCUCUUUUGCUAUGCCUAUGCUACGUUACCUACCUCUUGCUAUAUCAUGCCACGCAUAUUGCCAUGUCAAACCUCUAACGAUCCUUUCCUAGCAAACCAUUGUUUGGCUAUGUCACCGCUUUUGCUCAGCCCCUCUUAUAGCGUUGCUAGUUGCAGGUGAAGAUGAAGUUUGUUCCUUGUUGGAACAUGGAUACUUUGGGAUAUCACAAUAUCUCCUGUUUAAUUAAUGCACCUUAUAUACUUGGUAAAGGGUGGAAGGCUCGGCCUUAUGCCUGGUGUCUUAUUCCACUCUUGCCGCCCUAGUUUCCAUCAUACCGGUGUUAUGUUCCUUGAUUUUGCGUUCCUUACGCGGUUGGGUGAUUUAUGGGACCCCCGUGAUAGUUCGCUUUGAAUAAAACUCCUCCAGCAAGGCCCAACCUUGGUUUUACCAUUUGCCACCUAAGCCUUUUUCCCUUGGGUUUUCGCGAGCCCGAGGGUCAUCUUUAUUUAACCCCCCGGGCCAAUGCUCCUCUGAGUGUUGGUCCAAACUAGAGCGCUUUGCAGCGCCCCCUCUAGGAAACUUGGGGUCUGGUUUUAGUUGUACGGACUGCUCAUCCGGUGUGCCCUGAGAACGAGAUAUGUGCAGCUCCUAUCGGGAUUUGUAGGCACAUUCGGGAGGCUUUGCUGGUCUAGUUUUACCAUUGUCGAAAUGUCAUGCGAACCGGGAAUCCGAGACUGAUCGGGUCUUCCCAGGAGAAGGUUUAUCCUUCGUUGACCGUGAGAGCUUAUGAUGGGCUAAGUUGGGACACCCCUGUAGGGUAUUAUCUUUCGAAAGCCGUGCCCGCAGUUAUGAGGCAGAUGGGAAUUUGUUAAUGUCCGGUUGUAGAUAACUUGACACUUGACUUCAUUAAAAUGCAUCAACCGUGUAUAUAACCGUGAUGGUCUCUUCUCGGCGGAGUCCGGGAAGUGAACACGGUGUUCGAGUUAUGUUUGACGCAGGUUGCUCUAGGAUCACUUCUUGAUCGCUUCUAGAUUCACGACCGUGCCUUGCUUCUCUUCUCGCUCUCUUUUGUGAAUGUAGCCACCAUAUAUUCUAGUCGCUUGCUGCAGCUCCACCUCACAACUCUGACCUACCUAUAAGCUUAAAUAGUCUUGAUCUCGCGGGUGUGAGAUUGCUGAGUCCCCGUGGCUCACAGAUUCUACCAAAACAGAUGCAGGUACCGAUGAUACCAGCGCAAGUGGUGCAAUCGAGCUCAAGUGGGAGUUUGACGAGGACCGUGGUUGUUACUAUGUUUCAUUUCCAGACGAUCAGUAGUGGAGCCCAGUUGGGACGAUCGGGGAUCUGUGUGGCAUUUGGGGUAGUCUUCUUUUAUUUUGGUUCCGUAGUCGGACCUUGAGUGUAAUCUGAAUGAUGGAUGUUUAUUUAUGUAUUGUGUGAAGUGGCGACUAUAAGCCAACUAUGUAUCUCUUUCCCUUAUGUAUUACAUGGGUUGUGUGAAUAUUACCUCACUUGCGACAUUGCUUUCAAUGCGGUUAUGCCUCUAAGUCGUGCUUCGACACGUGGGAGAUAUAGCCGCAUCGAGGGUGUUACAGUGGCGGCCUUGGUGGCGACGAAUAGUACAACCCCGGUUCCUGCACCGGUAUCUCAACACCAAUUACCUUCGGUAUGGUGGACAGCUUCUUCAUCCAUGCCAUAACCGUCAGAGCCGAGCUGUCUGCAGGAACAAACAAACUUACGAGCUCACCUCCAAGGUUGUUGAUAAGCUCAUUCAUGGACUCGUUGUGCCAAGCACGUCGAGGCAUGCCGUGGAAGGUAAGCUUUGUUAAAAACUCAAGCUCAGAGGGCACCGAGCCCCAUCCUGGGUGCCACCGAUCAUAGCUCACCAGCACGCCAUCGUAGAACAAACUCCGGGAAGAUUGGAAUGCAUGACUGCAGUCGAAAGUUGUCCGGAACCUGAUGAAGAAAUCAGCCGGUGGCGGAUAGACUUCGAUAAGCAAGUCACUUAUUUGGAUGCUAUGCGCAAUGCAGAGAGCUUUGACAAGGUCGUCCGGUGAGACGGGAGGCCGAUCGCCAUUGAUGGUUACCAUCAGCACUUUGUCGGCAAACUGGUCGUCAAGCACCGCCAUUCCACUGUUGAGCGACAGCACGCAGCGCCCGAAGGCAGGAUGGACCUCAGGAUCUCCGGCUCAGAGAUCUGCGUUGACCGGCGACAUGAUAGUGCGCUUGAGUACAGGGAGUACAGGAGGGAGAUUUCAGGGAACUGGAGUAGGAACCAAUAUUCCAGAGGUGAGGGAGGGGCGGUUGAUUGGGGAUGAAAAGGUAGAAUGAAUUUCGAACACGCGCCAAUAUGCUCUCGGCGCACAAGCUCACGAAUACACCGGUGGCGCCCACAUGUCGGCCUAAGAGUCCCUAUUCUUCCUAUUUUUGAGAGCCCGACCUUUUUUUAGGAUCUUUUGAGAGCCCGACCUGUGAUUCGUAAUUGACCUAUUUGGCAUUGCGUUACUACUUGGCCCAUAUUCAAUGACACCUCACUGGCCCAAACAAGUGUACAUCAUUGAAAAGACACUGAGCUCAAAUUAUAACUUGAAAAAAAGGAGAUAUACUCUCAACGCUGGAGAAUGGUGAUGCCCUCAUUUAGUCCACCCUCAGUUCGAGACAAUAAACAGUUCAAAACAACGAUAUAUACAACAUUCAAACACUGACUAGUGACUACUACUGACAUAAACAGCAAAACAUGAUAGUUCAUAAGAAGUCUUGCUACACCUCCAAAAAACACCCAUCUGCAGCGGUCAGACUCUCGUGACCCCGACGAGAAUGACAUUCUAAAUAGAGGCAACUAUUACAUAGUAAGAGUGACAUAGAUGAGGAUAACCAACUGACAAGCAAUAUGCAUAACAAAAGAGUGAAGUACCCAUCCAGAACAAGCAGCAAAGACAAUAAGUCAUUCAAAGAGAGAUGAUCCAACACCAUCAUAAUUUGCAGCCCCGGUUCAGCCACCAGUGAUCCAGAGACACCAGUACUCCACCCUUUCGAUGCAACAGCCUAAUUACCUAUCAACCUGAAGGCUUGAACCACAUCACUGCCUAUCGGACUCAACACAUUCAAGGAUCAAAGUUAAUCCAGAUGCCUUUGUCAGUCUCACCUUCUUUUGGCUACAGGCUGUAUCGUUGACAAUCAAGGGAGUUUGCUCCCGAACUCCUAGGGCUCGCCGUGUAGACAGAGUUUUCCAUUGGAAACAGAGCCUCUCUGCCAUCAAGGUCCUUGCCAACGGUGAUCUCCUGGUUAAUCGGAUAAUUGAGUUGGAGAAACAGAGAGUAUGAACCAAGGCUGUUUACCCGCCUCCAACUCAAAAAUCUUGCAGGCCCCAACAAGCUGGUAUCCUGCUCAUAGACGUAAUAACCACUAUCCGGAUACUCACGUAUUUCACGGUGCUUGCAUACAGUGGGGUUUUUGCAAUAUAGCUUUUUCGGCUCAUGUGUCUGAAUGAUCAUCAGUCUUUUGCCGUCCUCUGAUCGAGCGAGGAACCAGUUCUGCUUCCCUGUUUUUGGCAAAGGUGGUGUGAUUACAAAGGGUUGUAACUGUAGGGACACUGCAUCACAUCAAAAAGGACAGGCAUUGUUAAUGUAAGAUCAGCAUUGUUCAGAGUAUGAGUACGAUAAUGCAAGAAACAACGUUGAUAAGUCCCUGUUGGAACUGGGAGGAAAAUACAGGGAAAUGCAUACUGGGUUCGAAAAUAUAGAAGUGCCAUGCAUGGUUAUACUCAUGUUAUCUCACGAUCGUUUCUUCACAGGAAACUACCAUGUCAUGCAUGUUAUGUAAUCAUGUUCUGUCCUCACAAACAAAUUCUUCAAGGAAACUAACAGACCAUGCAUUGUUAUAUACUCAUGUUAUGUGGGCAAAAAUUUUGUGAGCAUAUUAUUCUAGCUAUUGAUUGCUGAAGGGAGAACAUAGGUAUGUACACAUGGUAAGCAUUACAGGAUUUCACUACUUCAAAAUAUAGAGUUCUCCAUAUGCACAUUUACUUCCCUAACAUAUGGUUAGAUGGAAUCAACAGUGUGAUGCAUGUUUCUACAUCAUGAAAAUGAGGAAACUAACAUGGCCAUUGAUACACACUCAUAUUUAGUAGUAUAUAGAUUACUAUAAAAUAAGGAGAAUAUCAAUAUCUUCCUAACAGUUUGAUUAUUCAGGGGUACAAAUUGGCUGUAAUGAAAGGGUCACAAUCACAUGAAUUAACUCAUUCCAAAUAUAGCUGAUUUACGGCGUAUCUAAUACAUUGCCAUAGUUCUACUCAAAUUCUGCUCAAAUAGGGAUAUGUCAAUCAUCACAAAAAGUUCAAACGGUGUCAAGGCGUCAUCAUUAACAUCAUACGAAAACAACUCACACGCGCCGUCCCAGCAAUAUAGGUGCCAUCUACUUUGUCGACCGCGUAAUGAUGCCAUUGUGUUCAAUAGCAUCACAGAAGUGUGUAUCAGCUUUGACAAUGAUCCACUGCGAGCUGAGCUGUCUCCAGCUAAAGAAUGCACCAGCGGAAAGAGAGGCGAGUCCCUUGUCGAACAAGGCAAUUAGCUUGAAGUCUGUGUAAUCCGCAUGUCGUGUGGGCACUUGGCAGAUUACAAUCUUCUGCAAAACAAGGUGCGUCGAACUGACGACGUAAUCGAGAUGACUUGGACCGCGAAGGUAAAACUCUAUAUUAACCAACGGAGGAACACUACUAGGAAAAGGGCUAUAGAUGAUAUGGACACUAAUGGCGCACCAGACAAGUGGUGCGCCACUACCAUAUACUAAUGGCGCACCAUGUGUUGGUGCGCCAUUAGUGUCCAAAUACUAAUGGCGCACCACAUCCACGGUGCGCCAUUAGUAACAAAUUUUUUUUAUUUUAUUUUUUCAAAACUAGUAAUGGCGCACCAGGGGAUAGUGUGCCAUUACUAGUUAAACUAGUAAUGGCGCACCACAUCCACAGUGUGCCACUAGUAUUUUUUGUUCAUUUUUUUAUUUUUUUUCAAAACUAGUAAUGGCGCACCAGGGGAUAGUGCGCCAUUACCAGUUAAAGCUAGUAAUGGCGCACCACAUCCACGGUGCGCCACUAGUAAAUUUUUUCAAUUUUUAUAUAUUUUUUUCAAAAUUAGUAAUGGCGCACCGUGGGAGUGGUGCGCCAUUACUAAUUGAACUAGUAAUGGCGCACCACUCCCACGGUGCGCCAUUACUAACUUGGCCCAAAAAAUCCACCAAAUGCACCCCCCUAACCGCCUUUUCAGUUUUAGAAAAAAUAAAAGAAAAUGAUGGAAAUGUCAAAAAAUAAAAGAAAAUAAGUUUCCCAUGUGAUAUGUAGUCUAGUUGUUCGCAAAAUUUACAAAUAUGAAUUUCGACUUUAUUUGCAAAAUCUCUCUGGAAUUUGUAAAAUGGGCAUAACUUUUGCAUACGAACUCGGAUUAAAAAGUUUUUUAUAUGAAAAAUCAUCUACUUGAACCCCGUUAAACAUUUUCAAAAUCCUCGAAAACCUAACAAAAAAAGUUACAGGGCUUUCAAGAUCUAGAGGCAAAAAAAUUCAAAAAAUUACAAACUUACUAGUGGCGCACCGUUUGUUAGGUGCGCCACUAGUAACAGAAAAAAAUGGUUUUGAAUUUUUUUUGGAUUUUUUUUAAAAAAUGAUACGUAAUAUGACCGGGAAGUUUGAAAUAUUUUUCAAAAUUUCAUCAUAGUCAUGAACAUGGACAAAGUCCUAGACAUGAACAAGGUAUAAUAGGAUUGAUAUGAUAGAUAUAUCAACAAGUGCCUGUUAAGUGAGGUGGUGCUGGGGUUGGAUAGAACUGCGAAGUUAAGCGUGCUCGGGCUGGAGUAGUGUGAAGAUGGGUGACCUUCCAAGAAGUUUGACCACUUAGUGGGAUUUGACUUGAGAUUAAACAUAUUGACCCGAGAUUAAGCCAUAGUGACCCUAGAUUAAGAAAAAAACGAAAAAAAUGAAAAAAAUAUCUGAAAUUUUUUUUGAGAAAAAAAUUGUUACUAACUAAUGGCGCACCGUGCGCUAUGCUAAUGGCGCACUGCCUGGUGUGCCAUUAGUAGGCAAAACUGGUGCACCACUAGUAGGCCUUUUCCUAGUAGUGGAAGGAUAGUCUCAUGGGAGGUCUGGAAGUUCACGAGCACCAACUUUUCCCCGUCUUCUCCGACGGCAGCCGUCUAGUGGGAGUUCAUGCUGAACCAGUACAUAGAGGCAAGAAGUUUUGGGCGACGGUGAUCGGAUCGAAGUUGAGGGAAAUGAUGUACGGUGACCCACUACAUACCUGCAAAGAAUUUUCGGCUAAUGGAGGUCGGAUUGAAGUCGAGGGGCAUCAUGUACGCCUCCGCAGCAUGGUGAGAAAAUCUCGCAAGACCACAUAGCAGCAAGCAGGGUGUCUUGAAAAGCUUAGCACUACUAGGGAAAACCCUAGUAGUAGCGCGGGUUUUGAGGCUAGCAGCAGCGCGGGUGGCCGCGCUACUAAUAAGGCGCUACAUCUAACUUAUAGUAGUAGCGCGGUCCUCACCCGCGCUACUACUGUUGACGAUAUCAGCAGCGCUUUUGCGGAACGCGCUACUAUUAGUUAGCUGUAGCGAUUUCCUUGUCCCUCGCUACUGCUAUAUCUUUCAUCAUUUUCCCAUUAUACCCCUUUCCCUUUCGGUUUCAAUAAACUGCAAUUUUCAGAUACUAGGUACUACUAGAUAUCAAAUUCAUAAACCAUUAUAAGUACUAGGUAGUACUCCCUCCGUUCCAAAUUACUCGUCGUGGUUUUAGUUCAAACCAUGAUGAGUAAUUUGAAACGAAGGGAGUACUAGAUAACAAUUUCAUGCAUAGUCAACAUGCAUCCUCAAGCAGUACAAGGUCAUAUCGACGACGAUCAUCAUAUGUAGUUCUAGAUGAUAUCAACGAUGAUCAUCAUAUGUAGUUCUAGAUGAUAUCGACGACGAUCAUCAUAUGUAGUUUUAGAUGAUAUAGACACACACACACACAUAUGUAGUUCUAGAUGAUAUCAAAGACAAUCAUCAUCCUCAAGCCUGGGCGGUUGGUGUUCUUGAUAGUAAUUAGGAUGGCCUGUCCAACACGAAGAUUCUUGCCAUCGAGGAAUUUCUUCCACCCAACCGAGUUUAAGUGUAUGCGACCGUCCGUGUCCACUCGGUAAGUACAGGUUGUGACAGAGCCCCUUGCGGUAAGGCGUAGUCCAUCUGAGCCUUCUUCAUCAGGCUCGAUACCAUAACUCACAGAUAGGCUCUUUGCCAAUUUUUGAAUAAGAAAAACAUAUCAAUUAAUAAAUAGCCUCACACAUACUCUUGCAAAUAAGUAUAUAUGGAUUAUCUACACUAUUAAUAGUUCCUUAGAUUCUACACUAAUAAGCAUGUGACCGAACUCUACACUAAAACAUAUCAUCGACUAGAUUCCACACAACAUACCAUAUCAUUGGACUCUACACUAAGUAUUUCAUCGGAUAAUUUGGAUUUGUAAGUAUAACAUACCAUAUCAUGUUGAUCAACCAUGGUACUUGUCAGGCGGGUCACGAAUGGCACCCCGCAAAGUCAGCACGUGGUGGAAUUAUGUGCCACAUGUUGGACACCUCCUCCUCGCUCAACCUCAUUCUUUGAGCUACGAUGGCUUCAUGAAGUGGGUCCUCAUCAUCUUCAUCGAGUGGGUCCUCAUUAUCUUCAUCAUCUUCAUCAUCUUCAUAAUCUUCGUCAUCUUCAUCAUCUUCCACCAGGUUGAUAUAAAUGACAGCCAGCUUGGGUCUUUCUGCCCUGAAGGAGAAGCUGAUCAACUCACCACCAGUAAGACGCAUGCGGGCGAGGAAACGGGCCCAUCCAUCUCCUCCAAUCAGCGACAUAUUGCGUUCUUUCUCGACCUCCAUAGUGUACGACCCCCAGGAGCCUCAAAUGUCACAGUGUCUCCUAUCAGCUUGUUGAAUUUCAACCUCACAUUGCAUGGGACGAUCUGUGUAAAAUAAGCAAAAUGACAAAAUGCAGUAAUGCCAACACUAAAAAUAAAAUAGUUGUUACAUUUCAUAUAAUUUCUUACCACCGCAUGACGAAAACUCGGCUGGAAAUAGAUGUCGAACAACUUGCUAGUUGCAAGGCUGCUGGCGCACCUUGACUUGCACAGCCGACAUGGUGGUGGUAGUGGUGGCGCCAUUUUCCUAAAGCAAUAUGAGCAAAGGAUUAACGAUCUUCACAGGAAAGAAAAACAAUAGCAUGUGCUAUUUUUGGUACUUCUUCAGUUAUAUUUUCAUAGUGGAACCCGAUCCCAAAAAGUAAACAACAAGCUCUCAAUUUGAUGAAGAGAUUCUUCUGCAAGAAGCAAUUUGAUGGAUAAUUAUAAUCCUAAGAUUUAGUAACAUACAAGAUGACAAGGUAUCACCUACGAAAGCAUUUCAGUGGCACCUAUUGCCAAAAAAACUAUUUGGCCCCUACCAAAGGUAUAAUCCUAAGAUCUGUAAUAAGUUAUCUACCAAAUCAAGGUACCACCUACCAAGACACAUUUCAUUUAAUUUGUCCCCUAUUGCCUAAGAUAACUGAUUAAAAAAACAAGUGGCAAAUUUAAUUGGGAUUAACUUAGCACUUGCAAACUAAAUACUUGUAUCAAACCAAUAUCUAGCAGAUCACGGUACCACCUACCAAAGCAUUUCAACUAAACUGGCACCUACAUUUUGCAAAAAUAACUUAUUACAGAAAAACAAAAGCAUCUACUUAUCCAUAUGAAAUUCGUGAGCCCUCGCUGCAUCUAGGUAGGGUAGCCCUCGAGGGGUGCUGUCGAGGAGGGGGGAUGGCAUGGUGACCUCGGUCGGGGGUACUAACGAGCGGAAGGCUAGUGACUUUCCUACAAGAGGGGGCGACGACAGCGGCCGGCAAGGGGAUCGAGGGCGGUCGGCCAAACGUGCCCGGCCAGAGCUCGCGGGCAGCAACAGAGUGGGCGGCGAGAGGGUGGAGGAGCAGCGGAGGGGCGACAAGAGGGGGGAGUAGCAUUACCUGCGACGGCGGUGGCGGAGGAGAAACCCUAACCGCAGCUGCCGGCGUCGGGCGGAGGGGGACGAUUGAGAGAUGAGCAUGCCAGGGGGGCGAGCCGUGUGUUUUGUUUUGCUUUAGCAGUAUCGCGGGUAUGGGGAGCGCGCUACUGCUAAGACCUAUACCAGCAGCACUUUGUCAAGAAAAACGCUACUACUAAGUCUAAGCAUGUAAAAACAUCAAAAAUAUACAUUGGUCAUCAUUGAUCUUUUUGUGUAGAAUCUAAAUAGUCAACAUGAAUCCUCACUGUACCUGUAUAGGUACAUGUGAGGAUUCAUAAUGCAGCCACAAAUCCUACACAUAUAGUUCAAUGAAGAACAAGUGCUCGAGAUAGUUUGAGAAGUAACAUAUUUAAGGUGGUAGACAUCUUGUUCGCUUAGCAGUAUGGGACUAAACUAAAUUAGUCACCAGGAGUGAUACUUAGCAGCAACGAGUUUUGGGGAAAACGCUGCUACUAAGUACUUUAGCAGUAGCGCAUCCAAAAGAAGGGCGCUACUACUAUAUCUAGCUUGGAGGCAACGCCGUGGCAAUUGUAGUAGUAGUGCUUUUUUCACCUAGAGUGCUACUGCUACUGAGCUGUUAGUAGCACGGUUUCCCGAAGCCCACUACUGCUAAUUAGCAGUAGCGUCUAUUUUUAAACCACGCUGCUGCUAAGAUUCUGUGUAUAAGGUUUUCCCUAGUAGUGUAGGCCUCACUUCGACGAUGGCCGUGUGCAUGCCCCUCGAGCAUGCAGCCAGCCGCAUGGCGCUCAACAUAUCCAUACACGAACAAAAAGGUCGAGGAUGUCACUAGGGAGAUUUCUCCAAUCGCGGCUCAUAUGGAUGCUACGCAGUUCACGUUCGGCCAUGGUGGAGUUUGGAAGGUGGGGUUUUGGGGGCCUUCAUUUACGGGGGAGAAGGCUCUCGAUGCUGGAGCGGCUAGCAAGGGAAUAAUGGUACUGGGGGAGGCGAGCGAGGCGAGGGUACGCGGGGGCAUAGUGAGAUGAUGAAGAGUUGAUACUUCUCCAACGUAUCUAUAAUUUUUUAUUGUUCCUUGCUAUUAUAUUACCCGUUUGGAUGUUUAUGGUAUUUAAUUUACACUUUUUAUAUCAUUUUUGGGACUAACCUACUAACCGGAGGCCCAUCCCGAAUUGUUGUUUUUUUCCUAUUUCAGUGUUUCGAAGAAAAGGAAUAUCAAAUGGAGUCCAAACGAAAUGAAACCUUCGGGAGCGAUCUUUUUAGAACAAACGCAAUCCAGGAGACUUGGAGUGGACGUCAAGCAGCAAACGAAGCAGCCGCGAGGGUGCCCGGCACGCCCUAAGGGGGUGGGCACGCCCCCACCCUCGUGGGCCCCUCGUGGCUCAACCGACCCACUUCUUCCACCUAUAUAUAUCCACGUACCCCCAAAACAUCCAGGGGCACGAAAAACUAUUUCCACCGCCGUAACCUUCUGUAUUCGCGAGAUCCCAUCUUGGAGCCUUCACCGACGCUCCGCCGGAGGGGGAAUCGACCAUAGAGGGCCUCUACAUCAUCUCCAAGGCCUCUCCGAUGAGUUGUGAGUAGUUUACCAUAGACCUUCAGGUCAAUAGUUAUUAGUUAGAUGGCUUCUUCUCUCUCUUUGAAUCUCAAUACAAAGUUCUCCUUGAUCUUCUUGGAGAUCUAUUUGAUGUAACUCUUUUUGCAGUGUGUUUGUCAAGAUCCGAUGAAUUGUGGGUUUAUGAUCAAGAUUAUCUGUGAGAAAUAAUUGAAUCUCCUCUGAAUUCUUUUAUGUGUGAUUGGUUAUCUUUGCAAGUCUCUUCGAAUUAUCGGUUUAGUUUGGCCUACUAGAUUGAUCUUUCUUGCAAUGGGAGAAGUGCUUAGCUUUGGGUUCAAUCUUGCGGUGUCCUUUCCCAGUGACAGCAGGGGCAGCAAGGCACGUAUUGUAUUGUUGCCAUCAAGGAGUAAAAGAUGGGUUUUAUAUCAUAUUGCAUGAGUUCAUCCCUCUACAUCAUGUCAUCUUUCUUAAUGCGUUACUCUGUUCUUAUGAACUUAAUACUCUAGAUGCAGGCAGGAGUCGGUCGAUGUGUGGAGUAAUAGUAGUAGAUGCAGAAUCAUUUUGAUCUACUUGUCACGGAUGUGAUGCCUAUAUACAUGAUCAUGCCUAGAUAUUCUCAUAACUAUGCACUUUUCUAUCAAUUGCUCGACAGUAAUUUGUUCACCCACCGUAAUACUUAUGCUAUCUUGAGAGAAGCCACUGGUGAAACCUAUGGCCACCGGUCUAUCUUUUAUCAUAUAAGUUUCCGAUCUAAUUUUAUUUGCAUCUUUUACGUUCCAAUCUAUAUCAUCAAAAUACCAAAAAUAUUAUCUUAACUUAUUAUCACUAUCAGAUCUCACUUUCGCAAGUUACCAUGAAGGGAUUGACAACCCCUUUAUCGCGUUGGUGGAGAGGUUCUUGUUUUUUUGUGUAGGUACGAGGGACUUUUGAGGAGCCUCCUACUGGAUUGAUACCUUGGUUCUCAAACACUGAGGGAAAUACUUACUCUACUUUGUUGCAUCACCCUUUCCUCUUCAAGGGAAAACCAAUGCAGUGCUCAAGAGGUAGCAAGAAGGAUUUCUGGCGCCGUUGCCGGGGAGGUCUUCGCUCAAGUCAAGACAUACCAAGUACCCAUCGCAAACUUAUCUCCCUCGCAUUACUAUUUGCCAUUUGCUCUCGUUUUCCUCUCCCCCACUGCACCCUUGCCGUUUUAUUCGCCCUCUCUCUCCCAUUCUCCUCUCUUUCCCGCUUGCCUCUUGUGUGCCUUUUUGCCCUUAUGGCUUUGCCUAAGAACGAUGAUCUUCAUCUUAGAAGGUUGGAAGAGAUUGAAUUAAAUAUUAGAAGCUUUAUGACUUUACAAUUUGAGCAUAACAAUUUCUUUAGAAAAGAGCUUAAAGAACAAAAAAAAGCUUUAUGGAAUACAUGAAUAAAGAGCUUGAUGAUAUGUGUAAUGAGUUUUAUGGUUUGAAUUCUCAGAUUGCUCGUCUUGAAAAAUCUAUAGCCCAAAUUUCUGAUAAGCAAGCCACCUUAGUUAAUAAGAUGGCUGCCAAACCAGAAGGCUUAGGGGAAAUAAUGAUGAAGAUCUAACAGUUAGUGAUGUGUCCCCUAUUAAAUCUUUGUUUUGCAAUAUGAAUCUUGAUAAUGAUGGGACUGGAGAUGAGUCAACUUUAUUUAAAAGGAGUCCCAAUGAUUCGGAGUUUUUAGAUCUUGAUGCUAAAUUUGGUAAAAGUGGGAUUGGAGAGGUCAAAACUUUACGUAGCAAUGAACCAACUUUAUGGAUUUCAUGGAAUUUAAUUAUGAUAAGUGUUCUUUAAUAUAUUGUAUUUCCUUGUUGCAAUCCGUGUUGAAUUCUCCUCAUGCUUAUAGUAAAAAUAAAGCUUUUACCAAACAUAUUGUUGAUGCCUUGAUGCAAUCUUCUGAGGAAAAACUUGAACCGGAAGUUUCUAUACCUAGAAAACUUUAUGAUGAGUGGGAACCUACUAUAAAAAUUAAAAUUAAAGAUCAUGAAUGCUAAGCUUUGUGUGAUUUGGGUGCUAGUCUUUCCACGAUUCCGAAAACUUUAUGUGAUGUGCUAGCUUUCCAUGAAUUUGACUUGCACCUUGCGGAUUCCACAAUUAAAAAACCUAUGGGAAGGAUCAAUGAUGUUCUUAUUGUUGCAAAUAGGAAUUAUGUGCCCGUAGAUUUUAUCGUUCUUGAUAUAGAUUGCAAUCUUUCAUGUCCUAUUAUUCUUGGUAGACCUUUCCUUAGAACAAUUGGUGCAAUUAUUGAUAUGAAGGAAGGGAAUAUUAGAUUCCAAUUUCCAUUAAGGAAAGGCAUGGAACACUUUCCAAGAAAGAAAGUCAAAUUACAUUAUGAAUCUAUUAUGCGUGCCACUUAUGAAUUGAAUGCCAAAGAUGACAAUAUUUAGAUCUAUUCUCGCUUUUAUGCCUAGCUAGGGGCGUUAAACGAUAGCGCUAGUUGGGACGCAACCCAAUUUUAUUUUUGGUACUUGCUUUUUGCUUCUGUUUAGUAAUAAAUAUUUCAUCUAGCCUCUGUUUAGAUGUGGUUUUAUGUUUUAAUUAGUGUUUGUGCCAAGUAGAACCUAUAGGAUAACCUACGAUGAUAGUUAAUUUGAUUCUUCUGAAAAACAGAAACUUUUGCACACACGAGAAUAAUUUUCGUAAAUCACAGAAAUAUGAUUUUGUGUUGAUUCUUUUUGAAGUAGAUCAGCAGACAAAUUUCCCAGUACCUACUAUUUUGGUAGGAGUUUUAGAGUUCCAGAAGUAUUCUAAAGUUACAUAUUUCUACAUACUAUUAUGUUUUUGACAGAUUCUGUUUUUUGUGUAUUGUUUGCUUAUUUUGAUGCAUCUAUGGAUAGUAUCGGGGGGUAUGAACCAUAGAGAAGUUGGAAUACAGUAGGUUUAACACCAAUAUAAAUAAAUAAUGAGUUCAUUACAGUACCUUAUGUGGUGGUUUUUCUUUCUUGCACUAACGGAGCUUAUGAGAUUUCCUGUUAAGUUUUGUGUUGUGAAGUUUCCAAGUUUUGGGUAAGGAUUUGAUGGACUAUGGAAUAAGGAGUGGCAAGAGCCCAAGCUUGGAGAUGACCAUGGCACCCCAAGAUAAUCCAAGUAUAACCAAAAGCCUAAGCUUGGGGAUGCCCCGGAAGGCAUCCCCUCUUUCGUCUUCGUCUAUCGGUAAGUUUACUUGGAGCUAUAUUGUUAUUCACCACAUGAUAUGUGUUUUGCUUGGAGCGUCUUGUAUGAUAUAAGUCUUUGCUUUUUAGUUUACCACAGUCAUCCUUGCUGUACACACCUUUCGGGAAAGACACACUUGAUUUGGAAUUUAUUAGAAUACUCUAUGUGCUUCACUUAUAUCUUUUGAGCUAGAUAGAUUUUGCUCUAGUGAUUCACUUAUAUCUUUUAGAGCACAGCAGUGGCUUUAUUUUGUAGAAAUUUUUGAUAUCUCAUGCUUAACUUAUAUUAUUUUGAGAGUCCUUUAGAACAUCAUGGUAUUUUCUAUGCUUAUAAAAUUUGUCCUAGAAUGAUGAGCAUCCAAGUAGGGUUUAAUAAAAACUAUCAUAGGAAGUGAAUUGGAUGCUAUGAUCAAUUUGAUGCUUGAUAAUUGUUUUCAGAUAUAGAGGUGGUGAUAUUAGAGCCAUGCUAGUUGAGUAAUUGUGAAUUUAAAGAAUACUUGUGUUGAAGUUGGCAAGUUCCGUAGCAAGCACGUAUGGUAAAAGUUGUGUAACAAAUUUGUUGCAUGAGGUGCUCUUUUGAUUGCCUUCCUUAUGUGUGGAGGUCGGGAUCGUGCGAUGGUUAACUCCUACCAACCCUUCCCCUAGGAUCAUGCAUAGUAGUACUUUGCUUCGAGGGCUAAUAAAACUUUUGCAAUAAGUAUAUGAGUUCUUUAUGACUAAUGUGAGUCCAUGGAUUAUACGCACUCUUACAUUUCCAUCAUUGCUAGCCUCUAUGGUACCGUGCAUUGCCGUUUCUCACCUUGAGAGUUGGUGCAAACUUCGCUGGUGCAUCCAAACCCCGUGAUACGAUAUGCUCUAUCACACAUAAACCUCCUUAUAUCUUCCUCAAAACAGCCACCAUACCUACCUAUUAUGGCAUUUCCAUAGCCAUUCCGAGAUAUAUUGCCAUGCAACUUUCCACCGUUCCGUUUAUCAUGACAUGCAUCAUCAUUGUCAUAUUGCCUUGCAUGAUCAUGUAGUUGACAUCAUAUUUGUGGCAAAGCCACCAUGCAUAAUUUUUCAUACAUGUCACUCAUGAUUCAUUGCCCAUCCCGGUACACCGCCGGAGGCAUUCAUAUAGAGUCAUAUCUUGUUCUAGUUUUGAGUUGUAAUUCAUGAGUUGUAAAUAAAUAGAAGUGUGACGAUCAUCAUUAUUAGAGCAUUGUCCCUUAUAAAAAAAGGAAAAAAAGAAAAAAAGAAAGGCCAAAGAAAAAAAGAAAAAAAA
rnacentral:lncRNA from 1 species